UCCAUUUGAAACAGCGUUCUCAUCUCUUGCCAGCACACACGAACAUAAAAAAAAGAGAGCAUCGGCUCACCUCCUCCGCCGCUGACCGAUCGCCAGACUUGGUAGACAUGGCCGACGAUGAUCCCCGUGCUUCUUCCCUGUGGGAGGCUUCAACCAGCACGUCCAUCAGUCGGAGGAAGAUUAAUUCAUCAUCUCUAGUUUGCGAGGUAUGUCAUCGUCGGAGAAGAAAAUAGGAUGAGGAUGAUUGAUCGGCCAAGUCUACUAGUACUAGUGUUAUGGCCUAUGGUGCAGGGCAAAGACGACAAGGACGACACGCGGCGGCGACGUGGCCAUGGUGAAGCUACUUCGUUCGGCUACUCCAUGGCCGGCGUGUCUGCUGUCCUCUCAAUCUGUCACACGUACGUCCCGGUGCAUGCAUGGUGUCAGGCCGAAGAGCACACAAAUCUACAUCUAGGCCCUGGCCACUAGCAACAUGCACUUAGCCACUUACCCAAUAUAUUCAUAUUGUGCGCAUAUAAUAAAGUGGCUAGUACGUCGACGUAGAAAUAGUUAGGAGCUUGCUUUGCACUCACACAAUCGAGUCAUGAUUGUUACUGAUGAUCAAAAUUUUAUGUAUUUUUUAUGCCUAAUGGGUUUACUACUUCU